AACCAUAGUACCAUACCCUAACUUCUCCCCAAGUCGCCUUCUUCCAUAGCAGCGGCGGCUCCUAGAUUAGCGCUAAAUCUUCACCCGUCGCCGCCUUCGCCGGUGCAGCUCUCACCACCCCCGCCACGCUCUCUACCGUUACCAACCCCGCCACCCUUGUCCCUUGGAACCGUCACUAUCGCCUUUGUUGGAAGCGCGGAAGCGACACCAAAUUGCCUGUGUUGGAAGCGCGGCUGGCAGAAGGCGGCGCGACCGUCUAACUCGCUCUGCAACGACUUCAUUUCCCAGUUGCCUGAGGAGGUUUUCUCUAUCUUUCUUAAUCUGCUCCCACAAUUAUCAAUAAAUCUCCAUACAAGUUUUCAUCAGUGAUCAGUGGUCUCUCAAUUUAAGGUAUACUGACUAUUAGUUAGUCCACUGGAAAAAUGGAGAAGGGGUGGAUGUGGAAGAAUAGAUUAUCGCACGAGUAUGAGAAUGGAGUUGAAGGUUUCUUGAAUUUUGCAUUGCAAAAUGCGACUGAUGCUAAUAGAAUAACUUGUCCUUGUGCAAAAUGUGCUAACACUAGAAAGACUACUGUUGACAUCGUAAGGGCACAUCUAACAGUCAAUGGUUUCGACCUGACAUACACGAAGUGGAUAUGGCACGGGGAAGAUUACAGAACAACAGGACCAACACAUAACGGUGGUAAAGGUGAUGCCAAGUGAAUUAGUGAUGAAAAUAUGGCCCUGUGAUUAUAUAUCAACAAGACCAACACAUGAUGGUGAUAGAGGUGAUGCCAAGUGAACUGGUGAUGAAAAUAUUGGUCGAUGAAGAAGUUGUAGAAUUUGGAUUUGAGUAUUGAAAAGGAUGUUAUUUUAAAAUAUUCUUUACGAGGUAUUGCCUGUUUUGGGACUUAUGUUUUAUGAGUUGUUUUCAAAAGACCAUGUCUCAUGUCCUAAAUUUUUAGUAUAUAUUUUAAAAGAUAUUCUCAAUUUUUA